AUCGAUGAAACAUUAAUUAAAAUUAACACUAGCUUAUUGAUCAUUCAGAUUCAACAAUCAUCAAAGAUAAUUAUCAAUUAUCAAAAAUCAAUAGAAUAUUAAUAAGGAUUAACAUUGACGAGGCACCACCCUGGAAUCAGGGACUAAUAACCAGAUAGUAUAACAGUCUCAAUAUUAGAUUGUUGACAUCCGAAGAAUAUCGAUUUUUGGGAAAAAACAAUGAAUGAAGGCUUGAAUCCGAGCACUGACAUCUCGUCAGCAUGACACAGGUGUAUGCAAAACAAACCAAAAUACUUCUCUUUGUAAUAUAAACAAAGUUUAUUUAUGCAAUAAUAUCAAUUAAUAAUUAAUACAAUGCAGUCAAUAAAGUUCCGACUUACAACUACAAACUAAACAGUGAUAUGAUUAGAUAUGGAAAUCAAAAUAAUCCUAUAACACAUGAGGGUGUGUGUGUGUGUGAGAGCGAGUGUGUGUGUGUGUGUAAGGAGGGACGCGCACAAAAUGGCGGACGUGACUCCCGUGGAGAGUAUGUCAUGCGAGACUUCCGGCCAGGGAAUGUGACCGCGAAUGUGGGCGGAGAGAAACCAGUCAAUGGCGUCUUCCAGUUACCGUGUGUAUCCACUUGUAUGAUAGCUUAGGGACAAAGCUGAGUUUUAUCACGAAGCUAUCUACGAGCCAAAAAUGUGUGCCAGAAUGUUUGUGAGGGGUCGCGUGUGUGUGUGUGUGGUUAGUAUGAGAGAGAGAGAGACAGAAUUAAGUGACGGCCCCAAAGCUGAUUUCGGGAUCGUGGGAGAGAAAGCAGCUGUUAGUUUAUCACUCAGAGACGCGGUGGACAGCUCGUAAACAGUCCCGAGUUCUUUGAUUCUUUAAUGGAUAAACUCAGUUUGCCGGUCUCACCCGCGAUGGCGAAAAUGCACAACAGUCCAAUUUGGUUGGACCACAAUACAGCAAAUCAAAUUCGUGAUAAUUAAUACCCUGAGUAUUAAUAAUGAGCGGACAUAGCGGUCCGUAAACUGUACAAGCAAAAACCUUGAAACCCAAGAAUAACACACUAUAAUAUUCUAUCUCUGCCCAGACGUAAACCUCUUACUUGAAUCGCAUUAGGAUGCAGAAUGUGUGUUUAUCUGUCCUUUAACUCAGACUCGGUUCCUCGAGGCUUGGGUUAUGAUGGGAGGCUGUUUCCUCACUCUGUCGGCGGGCGGUACGGAUGCUGAUUCUCGGUGGGCUGGCGGAGAAAUCAGAAAUGUCGACUUGAUUGAAGAUGGAAGAGAAAUCUUUAAUCUCUUCACUUCUGCAGGCAAACGGAUGAAGAUGCAGAUUGCUCGGCGGUCUCCUUCGGAUCUGUUAGAGUGUUCGGUUGAACACAGAGUAAUCUCAACUCGUCCAGCAAGAUGGAGAUUGUAUGGCCACAGUUUCAAGUUGGACGUUACUUCCUUGUGCCACGAAGCUGCACCUGAGAGCAGCGAUGAGCUGCCUCUACACACGGCAAGCAAAGUUGCUGGAAGCAAAUCCCGGAAGCAUUUCAGAGAACCAGCUGGAUCCAGCUCCAUUCCUGCUUCGUGUUGGACUCCACUGCUACGUGUCACUGAGUGAUGAUGACUAAUAGCAGCCGGUGCCAGCCAAACAUCAUUUCAGUCUAUUACGAUGGACUUCAGAGGAUGAACUGAUGCCAACUCCAACCAUAAGACAUGGGAUCAUUCAUAUGCCAUUGCCUGAACCUUGGAUUUAGGAUAGACCUCACCGAAAUUACUGGCCGGUUGAACUGCGAUGCACCUAACUGAUCUCUGCCUGCAUCACCUCGGUGUAAUGAUGGACUACACUCUUGAAAUGGAAUAAAUAGACUAUCAAUUAAUUACCAAAAAACACUUCAUCAGUCAACUAACAAGGACAAUUGCAUUUAUGUGAACUUCUGCAGUUAAUCCAGGAUGAACUUCAAAGACAUCAGUCAUUAAUCUUACAGUUCAUACAAAAUCUUUGUUUAAACACUGACUCUUAACACUUACUUAGUUAAAUAAUUUUAAACCAUGACUUGCACUAGACAUAAGUAAUACUGGCAUUAUAUUCAUGUUGUUUAGCCAGAGGAGAACUGGUCCCCACAGUGAGUCUGGUUUCUCCCAAGGUUAUUUUUCUCCAUUAACCAACAUCUUAUGGAGUUUUGUGUUCCUUGCCACAGUCGCCUUUGGCUUGCUCACCUGGGGUUAUAAAUACAAUUAUUAUUUAAUAACUUAUUUUUGUGAAUUUUAUCAAACUACACAAUGAUGACUCUAAGACAUUAUAGAUAUUACAGUUUCAUUGUCUGUUAAUGCAUGAUUUUCUGUAAAGCUGCUUUGAAACGAUGUGUGUUAUGAAAGGCGCUAUACAAAUAAAAAUGACUUGACUAGUGUGCCGUUUUACCUCACAUGUUAUAAAUGCUUAAUAACACUUAUUCAACAUUAGUAACCUAUGAAAAUGUACCUUAAUGCAAAGUGGACGCAUGUAGAAUUUAUUAAAGGGGUCAUGACAUGAGGAAUCUAAUUUUCCUUGAUCUUUUGACAUAUAAGAGGUCAUUGUACUUUAAAAACAUACUGUAACUCAAACUUCCUCCUCAAAGCAUAAAGAAGAAUUGUUGAAAACAAGCUGCAAAAAAGACUCGCUCUCUACUUCCUCGACAUUAUGAUGUCACACUGUGGUAGACAUUUGCAUCUGACUGCCUCUACUACAACACAUAAAUGCCUACCAUACCUUUAAUCACUUCCGUAGCCCCACCCAGUAGCGGUGAGCAGUGAGAUGGCAAGGAGAGGGCAGGUCAGUCAAGAGCAGAGAGCCAAUCAUAACAGUAGGCAUUUAUUGUAAAGUCUUAAAGGAGAAGCAGCACCAAAACCGAGCAUUUCUGACAGAGGGUCAGAAUAAGGGUGGAAAAUGAUUUUGUGAAGAAAAAAAAACCUUACUAAUACUACAAGUGAACCUCAAUAAAUAUUCAAAAAAAAAAAAAAAAAACAAACAAAAAAAAGGCAUGUCAUGAACACUUUAAGGAGUUGCCAACAUUAAAAACCUAUGUACAUAAAGUUCUGUGUGGCUUAAUGAUCAUCAGGCUAUAUGUGAUAUAUACUGUGAAUGAGCAUGAAGAUUUUGAUGAGUGUUUUUGCAGAGGAUUUUUGGUAAAUAGGACUAGAUAAGUUGGGACACCACUCGGAGUAGCACCAUUCUUCUGACAUCAACGUGACAAGGAAAGUGACAACACAAGAAAUACAGUAAUAAAUCUAACACAAAGAGGACUGUAGCAAAAUUACAUAUUCCCUCCUUUUAAUCUCACUAUAAUAGUCUGUUUUUGCAGCACUGUGUCAUAAAACAUGAAUAAUAGAAUUUGUGGUUUUGAUUAAUAUAUGUAUGAAUAAGUGUGUUUAUUAAGCAUUUAUAACAUAUAAGUUAAAAUGCUCACUAUUUGUCAGGGAUUGCAUGA